rnacentral:rRNA from 1 species
AUGUUGCAUGAUGUUUCAUCUACUAAUGUUCCCGUUGAGAGUGAACAGCAGCCUAUUGUUCAGGAGCCUACUGUUCAGGUGGAGCAUGUUAUUGAUUCAGGUGAUACAUCUGUCAAUGAAAAUGUUGAUGCACAUGAUGAACCCGUCGUUGAUGAUGAACAUGUCACUCCUACUCCAAAUCAGGCUAUUGUUCCACCCAGUUGGAAUCUUGCAUGUGACAGAGUUAGGUGGGGUACUAAUAAACCUGACAUGUUAAUUGAAGAGUGCAAUAUUGUUUCUUUUGCUUUAUUUGUCGCAGAAGAAAUUGAAGUUAAUUCUGAGCCUCCUUCAUAUUCCGAGGCUAUUAUUUCUAGUGAUAGUAAUAAGUGGAUGACCGCUAUGCAUGAUGAGAUGGAAUCACUUGAAAAGAAUGGCACUUGGGAUUUAGUAAAAUUGCCUAGAGAGAAG